rnacentral:misc_RNA from 1 species
UUUCCGUAGGUGAACCUUCGGAAGGAUCAUUACCGUAACGCGGCGGUCCGGCAACCGCAAGGAAGUCGGCCGCCACACGCGUUUAUCACCCUUGACUUUGAGCACCUUUCGUUUCCUCGGCUGGUUCGCCUGCCAACGGGGACCCACCACAAACCCAUUGCAGUACAAGAAGUACACGUCUGAACAAAACAAAACAAACUAUUUACAACUUUCAACAACGGAUCUCUUGGUUCUGGCAUCGAUGAGAACGCAGC